rnacentral:lncRNA from 1 species
AACUAGUUACCCGGAGGGGGCCGAUGCGGUUCAUCCGAAGGAGGUCUCGCGAAGGGCCGAGCUACCGUGUGGAGCUGCAUUCUAUCCGGAAGGCCAGCCCAGGGGGCAUGCUUUCGCGCAGCGAAGCGCCCAGGCUGAGGCGCCUUAGGACGUUAGGUUUAGUUGCAAGCAUCCGGAAGGCCAGCCCAGCGGGUAUGCUGUCGCGCAGCGAAGCACCCAGGCUGAUUUGCCUUGGGCCGGCAGGUUUUGGUCGCAUGCAUCCGGAAGGCCAGCCCCAGCGGGUAUGCUGUCGCGCGGCGAAGCACCCAGGCUGAGUUGCCUUGGGCCGGUAGGUUUGGUCGCAUGCAUCCGGAAGGCCAGCCCCAGCGGGUAUGCUCUCGCGCGGCGAAGCACCCAGGCUGAGUUGCCUUGGGCCGGCAGGUUUUGGUCGCAUGCAUCCGGAAGGCCAGCCCCAGCGGGUUUGCUGUCGCGCGGUGAAGCACCCAGGCUGAGUUGCCUUGGGCCGGUAGGUUUGGUCGCAUGCAUCCGGAAGGCCAGCCCCAGCGGGUAUGCUCUCGCGCGGCGAAGCACCCAGGCUGAGUUGCCUUAGGCCGGUAGGUUUGGUCGCAUACAUCCGGAAGGCCAGCCCCAGCGGGUAUGCUCUCGCGUGGCGAAGCACCCAGGCUGAGUUGCCUUAGGCCGGUAG